rnacentral:lncRNA from 1 species
UUUUUCUAUACUGUGUCUGUACUGAGUAUGUAUAUGAUAAAGAUGUCGACUUUAUCGCAACUAGCAACUACUGGCUCUGCUCUGUAAACUAUUUCAGUAAUUCCUACUUAUGGACUACGCCGUUCAAUUCUAUCCCUUAGCAGCUCCAUUCUUAUACAACCCAGUGGAAUUCUUAUUACCUUCCUGAGAGCUCCCAAAAACAGGACUCAAAAGAAGGAGUGCAAUUCUGAUCAAGUGGUUUCGGUCCUCAGGCCGUUGAUUGGUGUUUCAGUCUGCCUAUGCCCUGUUUCAGGCUGGUUGUUAGUUGUUGCAGGCUUGUCCUUGCCAGCUCCAUUCCUUCCCUAGGGCUUCUAUCUUUCUCAACAUUCUCCUAUAUGAAGUUCCAUUGGGUUUCAUAUACUGUGUCGGUAUAGCGUCAAGAUAACUCGUUUAUCACCUGUUUUUCAGGGGACUUAAGUGAUUCUUAAAGUGUUGAGUCCACUCUCUUUCCAUUCUUAUUGUAUGUAUGCCUA